rnacentral:rRNA from 1 species
GGUGAGAGUGGCGAACGGGUGAGUAACACGUAGGUAAUCUACCUUUGGGUGGGGGAUAGCCCAUGGAAACAUGGGGUAAUACCGCAUGAUGCCGUAAGGUUAAAGGAGCAAUUGUUCCGCCUGGGGAUGGGCCUGCGGUCCAUUAGCUAGUUGGUGAGGUAAGAGCUCUACCAAGGCGACGAUGGAUAGCCGGCCUGAGAGGGUGAACGGCCACACUGGGACUGAGACACGGCCCAG